rnacentral:rRNA from 1 species
CCUACGGUGAGCUGCAGUGGGGACUAUUGCACAAUGGGGGAAACCCUGAUGCAGCGACGCCGCGUGAGUGAGGAAGUAUUUCGGUAUGUAAAGCUCUAUCAGCAGGGAAGACAAUGACGGUACCUGACUAAGAAGCCCCGGCUAACUACGUGCCAGCAGCCGCGGUAAUACGUAGGGGGCAAGCGUUCUCCGGAUUUACCGGGUGUAAGGGAAACGUAGACGGGUAAUCAAGUCAGAAGUGAAACCCCAGGGCUCAACCUUGGGACUUCGUUUGAAAUUGAGUAGCUAGAGUGCAGGAGAGGUAAGCGGAAGUCCUAGUGUAGCGGUGAAAUGCGUAGAUAGUAGGAGGAACACCAGUGGCGAAGGCGGCUUACUGGACUGUAACUGACGUUGAGGCUCGAAAGCGUGGGGAGCAAACAGGAUUAGAUACCCCGGUAGUC